AGCGAACGCUGGCGGCAGGCCUAACACAUGCAAGUCGAACGGAUCCUUCGGGAUUAGUGGCGGACGGGUGAGUAACACGUGGGAACGUGCCCUUUGGUUCGGAACAACUCAGGGAAACUUGAGCUAAUACCGGAUGUGCCCUUCGGGGGAAAGAUUUAUCGCCAUUGGAGCGGCCCGCGUCUGAUUAGCUAGUUGGUGAGGUACGGCCCACCAAGGCGACGAUCAGUAGCUGGUCUGAGAGGAUGAUCAGCCACACUGGGACUGAGACACGGCCCAGACUCCUACGGGAGGCAGCAGUGGGGAAUCUUGCGCAAUGGGCGAAAGCCUGACGCAGCCAUGCCGCGUGAAUGAUGAAGGUCUUAGGAUUGUAAAAUUCUUUCAGCGGGGACGAUAAUGACGGUACCCGCAGAAGAAGCUCCGGCUAACUUCGUG
rnacentral:rRNA from 1 species